CGCGUAGGCGGCUCGGCACGUCCGUUGUGAAAUCGCCCGGCUCAACUGGGCGGGGUCAGCGGAUACGGUCGAGCUUGAGCAAGCUAGGGGGCAAUGGAAUUCCCGGUGUAGUGGUGGAAUGCGUAGAUAUCGGGAGGAACACCAGUGGCGAAGGCGGUUGCCUGGGGCUUUGCUGACGCUGAGGCGCGAAAGCGUGGGAGCGAUCC
rnacentral:rRNA from 1 species